rnacentral:lncRNA from 1 species
CUGAGCCUCCAGGGUGAGACUGGGGCCCCCUCCGUGCCCUUCUGUAAUUGGUUAUCUGCCCUGCCGGACUGAGCUCUGUGACAGCAGUGAUUUUGCUUCCUUCCUGUGUUCUAGCACCCACUCCAGCACCUAGAGGAGAGCAGGUAAACCAAAGGAAGGGAGGAAGGGAGGAAGGGAAUGGCAUGACCAUGCUUGGCUGCCUUCCUCCCAGCGCGUGAGGAUUUGGACCAAUUCUUCUUACCCUAAACUCAGCCUCUGAGUUUCAGAGUAACCCUGACUUGCAGAGUUCCAGACAUGGAACCAGGUAGCUGGUAAUGAGAGCUAAGAGGAGAAAGGAUGGGGGAUGGUGAAGCUGGGUGUGAUGAGAAGCACACUGGACUUCAAAUGAGACCAUUUUUAUUGAAAUUUCAGCUGUGCCUUUUACAUGCUUUGUGACCAUGGGCAAGUUACUUACCUGACCUCACUGAGGAUUCUUUCCUCAAUUAUAAAAUAAAGCAGAAAUGCCAUCUGUUUGUGAGAAAACAUAAGUUAUAAAGCCCAGCACUUCACCUGACACUAAGUACCUACUUUGCAGGGGCAUUCUGGCUCCAGUUAAGACAAGGGUGGGUGUGUGUAUGUGUGUGCA